AUAACAUUCGGACCGUCGGUCUACCGAGCAAUUGUUAAGCUCGGCGGAAGAUCUUCCUUAUGUCGA
rnacentral:pre_miRNA from 1 species